rnacentral:rRNA from 1 species
GCCAGCAGCAUACCACCCUGCAUCCCACUGCUGGCUUGCUUCUGAAGCUAAGCAGGGUUGGUCCUGGAUGGGAGACCAGAUGCUGCUGGAG